rnacentral:rRNA from 1 species
GAUGAACGCUGGCGGCGUGCUUAACACAUGCAAGUCGAACGGAAAGGCCCAAGCUUGCUUGGGUACUCGAGUGGCGAACGGGUGAGUAACACGUGGGUGAUCCGCCCUGCACUUCGGGAUAAGACUGGGAAACUGGGUCUAAUACUGGAUAGGACCACUUCAAGGACGGUGUGGAGGAAAGAUUUUUCGGUGUGGGAUGAGCUCGAGGUCUAUCAGCUUGUUGGUGGGGUAAUGGCCUACCAAGGCGUCGACGGGUAGCCGGCCUGAGAGGGUGUACGGCCACAUUAGAACUGAGAGACGGCCCAGACUCCUACGGGAUGCAGCAGUGGGGAAUAUUGCACAAUGGGCGCAAGCCUGAUGCAUCAACGCCGCGUGGGGGAUGACGGCCUUCGGGUUGUAAGCUCCUAUCGCUAGGGACGAAGCGUUUUUGUGACGGUACCUGGAGAAGAAGCACCGGCUAACUACGUG